rfam:Acidovorax temperans strain KY4 Contig_39, whole genome shotgun sequence.
GGCAAGAGUAGAAGCGUUCACUGCGUUGCCCCAUGUGCAGUCCUGCACGACGCGAUGCCAGCCGGAAAUUGCUCUUGAA